CGGGCUGGCCGGGCGACCGCGUCGUCUCCCUCGGGAGGCGCCGAGGAAGGUCCGGGCUCCACAGGGCGUGGUGGUGGGUAACGCCCACCCGGGGUGACCCGCGGGACAGUGCCACAGAGAACAGACCGCCGCCGAGGGCUCCGGCCCGAGGCGGUAAGGGUGAAACGGUGGUGCAAGAGACCACCAGCGCCCCGGGCGACCGGGGCGGCUAGGCAAACCCCACCUGGAGCAAGGUCAAGAAGUACGGAGCCGCGAGGCCCCGCACGCGUGCACGUCUGAGGGUGACCCGCCCGAGUGCACGGGUAGACCGCUGGAGGCUGUCGGCAACGGCAGUCGUAGAUGGAUGGUCGCCGCCGGCGCGAGCCGGCACAGAACCCGGCCUACAGGCCAGCCCGUCCG
rfam:Nocardioides sp. Leaf285 contig_3, whole genome shotgun sequence.